rfam:Helianthus annuus linkage group 2, whole genome shotgun sequence.
GGUUGCGAUCCUACCGGCACUAAUUCACCGGAUCUCAUCAGAACUCCACAGUAAAGCAUGCUUGGGCGAGAGUAGUACUAGGAUGGGUGACCCCUGGGAAGUUCUCGUGUUGCAAUCC